AACCUUCUGUGAUUCAUAGCAUGUACAACUGGGAACACAUGCUUCUGUGUGGCAUAUGGUUCCCUCAAACCUCACUGCCAUGUCAGUACACUAUCCAUCUGAUG
ensembl:snoRNA